rnacentral:rRNA from 1 species
CAGCAGCCGCGGUAAUACGUAGGGUGCAAGCGUUAAUCGGAAUUACUGGGCGUAAAGCGUGCGCAGGCGGUUUUGUAAGACAGAGGUGAAAUCCCCGGGCUCAACCUGGGAACUGCCUUUGUGACUGCAAGGCUAGAGUACGGCAGAGGGGGAUGGAAUUCCGCGUGUAGCAGUGAAAUGCGUAGAUAUGCGGAGGAACACCGAUGGCGAAGGCAAUCCCCUGGGCCUGUACUGACGCUCAUGCACGAAAGCGUGGGGAGCAAACAGGAUUAGAUACCCGCGUAGUCCCUGUCUCUUAUAC